AGAUCCUAUGUGUCCUCUAACUCGGUUAAUUAUUGCCACCUAGACAUUCAACUAACAUUUUCCCUUCAUUUAAUUGAACUCACAUUUGUCCCUUCAAUUUUUCAUUAAUUCUUUCCCAAUUCUUGCCUUGACUAUGAACCCAUUUCUUUUCCCCAACAAAUCAAUUUCUAUCAAAAUCAGGAAACAAUCCCCCCUUCCAAACCAAUCUUCCCAAGCACAAAAGGUAUCGAAAUCACUUGAAAUUGCCCUCAAAUUGAAACUGUUUUGCUUGGGUAGAUCCACCAGUGCAUCCACGCUUUCAGUAACCCAUAAUUCAUCUAUUCAUUCUAGCUAGCCACUGUGCUCGAUAGAUCGUGAGAAGCAUCUCACUCAUCAAGAGCAAGUUCAAUUCCAUGGUUGAAGCUUUUCCCACGAGCAUCUUCUGCCUUUGGUUUGCUGUAUUAUGAAGCUCCACAUGAGAUGGAUUUUGUAGGAUUUUUUAUUACUAAAAUUACAAAUAAAGAAUUGGAAAUUGUUGGAAAAAUGAAUAGGUUGUUGUGGGUUUUUCAAUAUGUAGUUGGUAUGUUGGUGGUUUUGCAAGUUGUAUAUUGACGGUGUAGGAAUGUUAGUGAUGUUAUGUUUCAGCUCAAUGGUUGUAAUGGUAGGUGUAUUAGUGUUGAUGGUUGUGGAGUCAUAAUAAGAAACUUGAUGUAUUUUAUAGUUUCAAAUUGAAUGGGUUCCUUUUUGUUCAUCUUAGUUAUAUUUAUGUUGGUUAAUGCCAUUUUACAAGGAAG
rnacentral:lncRNA from 1 species